rnacentral:rRNA from 1 species
GACGAACGCUGGCGGCGUGCUUGACACAUGCAAGUCGAACGGUAAGGCCCUUCGGGGUACACGAGUGGCGAACGGGUGAGUAACACGUGGGUGAUCUGCCCUGCACUUCGGGAUAAGCCUGGGAAACUGGGUCUAAUACCGGAUAGGACCACUGCCUGCAUGGGUGGUGGUGGAAAGCUUUUGCGGUGUGGGAUGGGCCCGCGGCCUAUCAGCUUGUUGGUGGGGUGAUGGCCUACCAAGGCGACGACGGGUAGCCGGCCUGAGAGGGUGACCGGCCACACUGGGACUGAGAUACGGCCCAGACUCCUACGGGAGGCAGCAGUGGGGAAUAUUGUACAAUGGGCGCAAGCCUGAUGCAGCGACGCCGCGUGAGGGAUGACGGCCUUCGGGUUGUAAACCUCUUUCAGCACCGACGAAGCGCAAGUGGCGGUAGGUGCAGAAGAAGGACCGGCCAACUACGUGCCAGCCGCCGCCGUAA